rnacentral:lncRNA from 1 species
AGGAUAUGCUGACAUUCAAAGCAUCAAAAUAUAGUUUCAAGAAUGUCCCAGAACCUUCAAGCACUGAUGCAGGCACGACAUAUCGACUGUGUAUGUGUUCGAACAACAAAUUGUUUAGAAUCGAAGUGAAGGCAGGUCAUCACUGUAAGAACGCUAUAUCUGCUUGUUUGUCUUAACAAGACAAUCAUGAGGGUUUUUUUAUCUUUUAGGGUUAUUCUAGGUCUUUUACCUCUGAUAUUAGCGUAGGCUUUAUCUGUAUUGUUUUAUAGGUAAUGUUUUAUAUAGUAUGUGGUGUAUUUUUUUGAGUGGUAGAACUUAUAUAUAUAUAUGUAUAUAUAAUACAGUAUGGCCGAUAUAUUGUUGUGCAGUGUUUUUGUCGUGCAGUACUUUUGUCGUGCAAUAUAUAAAUUGACCAUAUUCAAAUUACGCGUCUAAAUAUUCGUAUAUUCCUGUUCUUCUCACCAAUCUAGUCAUCACCAACAGUGGCGUAUAGCAAGCUCGAUAAUUGGGGGGCCCAUAUUCAUAUAUUCGUGUUCACAGACCUUAAAAACAAUCGAUUCCAAAAUAAAUUAAUAAUGCAGAACACAAAUAUUUGAAUAUGACCCCCCCCCCCCCAAUUAUCGAGCUUGCUACGCCAGUGAUCACCAAAUAUAACUUGGAGCG